UUUGGGUGGCGAUGCCGGAGGGGAUCACCCGUUCCCAUUCCGAACACGGAAGUUAAGCCCUCCAGGGCCGAAGGUACUCCGCAAGGGGGAGAAUAGGUCGCUGCCCAAACUCAU
rnacentral:rRNA from 1 species